GGGGGCUGGCCACACUUGCUAGACCAGCUCGUCCCCACUCAUACUUUAGGAGGCCAGAGAAGUUGGCCUUUCCAACCUGGCUAGGCUCCAUAAUUUCAGAUGCUUUGGACUACAGUCUAGCAGGCAGAAGGGUCAUAAAGCCGUAUUUUUACCCCUCUGUGAUCAGCCUGGGUUUCUUUUAUGUGGACACUUCCUAAGAGCAACAAGAACUAGCCAAGGCACAGGGUCCAAGACCUGUCUGUUUCAAGCUUUUGGUGUCCUCAAGGAUGGCUCUUAGUGCAGAGCAAUACUAGUUAUUGUUACUUUGCAGUUUUAAAAAGGAAUGUACAAUUUACUAAAUAUACAAUGUCUAAAACCCAGUUUUUCCUGAAGCUAUUAUAUUCAAUUUAAAAAGCUUAUCAUUCUGUUUGUAUAUCUGGUAAGUUUUUUUUUUUUUUUUUAAAGAUUUUAUUUAUUUAUUUGACAGAGAGAUAGAGAGCACAAGUAGGCAGAGAGGCAGGCAAAGGGGGAGGGAGAAGCAGGCUCUCCGCUGAGCAGGGAGCCCGAUGUGGGACUCGAUCCCAGGACCCUGGGAUCAUGACCUGAAACGAAGGCAGAUGCUUAACCGACUGAGCCACCCAGGCGCCCCUAUAUCUGGAACUGCACCAGUUUUCGCCACAGCCUGUGAUUCUGCAAAAUGGCGCGAGAGCAAGACGACCCGGAGCCUGGUAGUUUUCAAAUCCAACAUCUGCCUCACAGUGAUCAGCCUUCAUCCCCCAAAGACCUACUUCACUAAACCAUUUGAGGAAACUGGAUGUUAGCUGACCCAUGAACGACAAUCACCAUACUGUUUCAUAUUUCGAGUUUUCUUAAAACACUAUUGCAUAUUUUGAAAUAGCUUUUUGGCUGUGUCUCAUAUUUAGCUUUUUUCUGUUAUACAAGGUACCGUGCCACGAAUAUGCUUCAAUAAGUUGUGACCUGAUCAGACAACCAGAAGAGGAUGCUUUGAUUUUGACAGGACUAACUCUUCUUUCUGCUCGUUCAAUAUUGGUACCCUUCACGAAACCACAAGUUGGUCAACUCAAGGGAUUCUUUGACUUAUAUAUUAGGAAAAAUAUUAGGAAAAAAUAUUAGGAAAUAGUAGGAAAAAAAGAAGUUGCAACAAUGGUUUAAAGCUUGUUAAAAACACAAGUAUGUUAAAAAUAGUUUAUAUAUUCUAGCUUAUUUGGCUUUUGUAAUAGACUAUAUAUCCCCUAUCUCAGUCUUGCAGCUGGGAGGUGUGGGGCAGGCAACAGUGGUAGUAACAAAUCAAAACAUUAAUAUAUGGAACCCAAAUAAACAUGUUUAAUACUG